UAGGGAAUCUUCGGCAAUGGACGAAAGUCUGACCGAGCAACGCCGCGUGAGUGAAGAAGGUUUUCGGAUCGUAAAACUCUGUUGUUAGAGAAGAACAAGGACGUUAGUAACUGAACGUCCCCUGACGGUAUCUAACCAGAAAGCCACGGCUAACUACGUGCCAGCAGCCGCGGUAAUACGUAGGUGGCAAGCGUUGUCCGGAUUUAUUGGGCGUAAAGCGAGCGCAGGCGGUUUCUUAAGUCUGAUGUGAAAGCCCCCGGCUCAACCGGGGAGGGUCAUUGGAAUCUGGGAGACUUGAGUGCAGAAGAGGAGAGUGAAAUUCCAUGUGUAGCGGUAAAAUGCGUAGAUAUAUGGGGGAACACCAGUGGCGAAGGCGGCUCUCUGGUCUGUAACUGACGCUGGGGCUCGAAAGCGUGGGGAGCAAACAGG
rnacentral:rRNA from 1 species